CAGUCGCCGCGGGAAUACGUAGGUGGCAAGCGUUAUCCGGAAUUAUUGGGCGUAAAGGGCUCGCAGGCGGUUUCUUAAGUCUGAUGUGAAAGCCCCCGGCUCAACCGGGGAGGGUCAUUGGAAACUGGGAAACUCGAGUGCAGAAGAGGAGAGUGGAAUUCCACGUGUAGCGGUGAAAUGCGUAGAGAUGUGGAGGAACACCAGUGGCGAAGGCGACUCUCUGGUCUGUAACUGACGCUGAGGAGCGAAAGCGUGGGGAGCGAACAGGAUUAGAGACCCCAGUAGUCCCUGUCUCUUAUAC
rnacentral:rRNA from 1 species